UAGUAUAGCCGCACGUUCUAACCCGCAGGAUGAGAACGUGGAGGAUGAGAGAUGGGAUCAUGGUGCACCAACUGGUACUGAUGCAUCUCUGGGCAUUGACCCGAACGUGCAGGAAGAAAACAUGGAGGAUGAGGGAUUGGAUCAUGGUGCACCACCUUCACAUGCAUCCCCUAGUGCAAUUGUAGCAGAGGAUAAAUCAAUAUUCACGACGAUGUCAUUCAUUCAUUGUGUGCGCUGUUGGAAGAAGCUCAGCGGGACUUGAAAGCCAAGUUCAAUGAAAUUAUGGCAAAUAGGAAAAGAUCAAUUGGUGAUGCUGUUAGCAGCAAGAAGAAGUUGAAGAUCAGUAGUGAUGCUACCAGGGGCAGACCCACGUUAGUGCAAAGGUGGUCAAUUGACCCCCGCAAUGUCGGAAUCCUCCAUCUGAGUGAAAUAUGUUGACCUCUGCAAAAAGCUGGAUGGCGUUGUGCAAGAGUUGCCUAUCAUCUGUUUGAUAAAGGGCACAGCACAGCAGCAACCCUCCUGCGCAGUGUAAGCAAGUGACUAUGAUGGAGAUCACCGACACUCAUCGAUCAACUACCCGGCACUCUCCCUGCUGUGCCCCAGUCCUCCCCACUAUCCCUGCUGUUCUUUCUACUGGUGGCUCAGUCCCAUGACUCAGAGACUAGUUUGGCUAGCUGCACCAGGUCUGCUACUUGUAUCUGGUUUUAGUGGUCUGUUUGAAAUCUUUCAUUAGGUCUAAUUUGUAGUCUUAAUUAGUGUGUUUUUCUGGUUUGUGGGGGUGUUCAUUGCUGGGUCUAGAACAACGUGCUGGGUGAUCAGCUCAAAGUUCUUGUAAUGCUAGCAGAAGAUGUAGCUACCGAGCUAGGGUUCUCACUUGGCUGCCACACGUUGUACUAGUUUAUCUAUAUAUGUUAUGGUUGAUAAAUGUGAUGGUGUGUUAUUGUAGCAGCCCUAUAAAUGAAGAAGAAGAGUCACCUCAUUUCACUA